UGCAAAUGUAUGUUGUAUCAAUGAAAACCAAUAAAUAAAUUUUAAAAAAUUGGUGUACCUACACAUAGGCCUAGACCAUUAGUUGGACUUUUGGUCAAAUGAGUUGCUGAAAUUAUAUUCUGAAAUUUUUUACUCCAUUAAAUCAAUGUGAGUCAAAUGUGAGUAUGAUCAGUCUCAAAAACUUACAUCACUAAGGUCCGUACUUCAGACAGGUUGUACAUGAAAGUUGACAAAUCAUGCAGCUAUCAACUUGAUGACAUUGAUCAAACAGGGAUAUCAAACUUUAAUGCCUUGAAAUUUAUUCAAAAGGGCUUGAGCAAAAAAUACAUCUAAGUAUUUGAAUUUAUAGAUUUUUGCGCAGCUUAUCACAGUCUACAGAAUGCAUUUUUCAAGUUGACAGUUUUUACGUUCUUUCAAUUGGGUACUUGCAAUUCGUGGAAAAGUGAAGUGAAUAUACCUAACCACAUGUAAUUUAAAUCAUAUUUAAUUGGAUACGUUACGCAUGUCUGUCGGAACCUGAUUAGCUUCUGAAUCGACAAAUGCCAUAUUUUAUUUGCGAUGACGUCACUUGCAGGCAUCCAAUUAGAGAUGAAGGAAUAUUUAACAGCAGGCAAUUUGUUCUACUGUUUUCAAGGACUGUUUUAUGAAACUUAUGGGACUUAUAAAGUGAAGAGUUAGAAAAACAGG